rnacentral:lncRNA from 1 species
CCCCGGGUGCACGCUACACGGGGAAGCCAGGCAGUAUUGGGGGUCAACCCCCCGGCCCUGACAAAGCAGCAGCAGCACCCGCAGCCCUUCCUGGGUUCUGAGGGAGCCACACUCGGAGGCCAAGGGGCUCCUCGGCGUGAGGAUGGGGUGUGGAGGCCACAAGGUCAAGGGUAUGAGGCGCUCCUCGUCCUGGGCCAUCACCCCUGUAGGUGGCGCCGCAUGAGGGAGCCGAGGCCACCUGAGCUCUUGCCACAUGCCUGCAGAGCUGGGGGAGGACUAGGUGCCCGCUGGGUGAGUGGGCAGCUGGGUCUGUUUCUGCCCCUGUUCUUGAACCCUGGGCCCCUGCCUCCUGGGGAAUCUCACAGCAUGUGACUAGGGGACCCUGGGACAUUCCCUGUCAGGCCCUGUCCUGCCAGCUCUGCCUGAGCCAACUCUCUUGGGCUUCCCUCAGCCCUCAGCCUCCAGGGGUCCUGGCUGGUGGGCUCAGGCACCUUUUGUGAUCCUGGGGCUGCCGCAGGCGACUGACACCAGACACAGUUCUGCCCCUGAGACCAGUCCCAGGAGAGGGAGGUGGGGUGAUCUGCACCCCCAGGUCUUGGGGCCCCACAUUCCUCCCAGGCAGGGUGGUGGGCAGGGGCUAGAUGUCAGGGUGAUGCUGACUCCACAGCCCCCUCCACCUUCUGUUCUCCUGGCCAGCCCUCAACACCCAGCCCGAGGAGCCAGGGAAAUGAGGCAUGUGCAGGGGGCAGAGAGUUGCCCCUGUCUUAAAGGGUCCUGGAAUUUAGGGGCAAUCAAUGCCCAGCUCAUCCUAGCCUGUCAUUUCUGACCUCUUGCCCAUUGGGGACAAGGGGACACAGCCGUGGCCUUCGCCACCAGGCCCUGGGAGGGAGGGCUUUGGCAGCUGAGGUCUACUUAUCCCGCCAUGCCCCCGUAGGAAACUGCCCCCUGAGGAGCGGGGCAGCACCACUGAUAUAUGCAAACCCACUGGUCCGAGCCCUGCCCCGCCUGUGUCCCUCUGUCCCCAGGCUGGCUCUGCCCACCCCGCAUGUACACUCUCCUAUGGAUGUCCCGUGGGCCAUGUGCAUGGGAGCCCGCGGCAGGUGGGGGCGGGCGGCUCAGGGUGCACUC